rnacentral:rRNA from 1 species
UGGUGGAUUGAUUUGUCUUGUUAAUUCAGAUAACGAGCGAGACCUCAUCUUAUUAAUUAGUGGUGAGAAUUUCGUGCCCCGCUAGGGGUACGAGCAUGAUUCUUAUCUUUACUUCUUAGAAGGACUCUCGGCAUCUUUAGUCGAUGGAAGUUUGAGGCAAAAACA